rnacentral:rRNA from 1 species
GUGCUAAGGUAGCAUAAUCAUUUGCCUUUUAAAUGGAGGCUGGUAUGAAUGGCAAGACGGAAAUUUAGCUGUCUCUCUUUUAGAGCUUUGAAAUUAAUAUUUUUGUGAAGAAGCAAAAAUAAGGUCGUAGGACGAGAAGACCCUAUCGAGCUUAAGUAGUAUGAUGUAGGUUUAGAGUAUACCUUUAGUAUUAAUUAUCCUUAUUUAGAGGAAGUGUUUUUAUUAAAAAGGUGUAGAAUUUUAUAUCUUUUAUUUAGAUUGGGGCAAUCGCGGAAAAUAUAGAACUUCCGUUGUAGAGUGACUAGGAAAGUGACACCUUUAAAGCAUAUUUAGUAAUGUUGAAGUGAUCCAUUUUUUAGAAGAGUGAGUAAAGGAAUAAGUUACCGUAGGGAUAACAGCGUAAUUUUUUUGGAGAGUUCAUAUUGAUAAAAGAGUUUGCGACCUCGAUGUUGGAUCGGGACUUCCAGGGGAUGCAGCAGUUCCCAAGGGUUGGUCUGUUCGACCAUUAAAGUCCUACGUGAUCUGA